CAAAAAGUAGCUUACUAAGCACUCAGCUUACACCUGAAAGAAGCCCUUCCACGGGCCUUUUUGC
rnacentral:tRNA from 1 species